UCUCCGUAGGUGAACCUGCGGAGGGAUCAUUACAGAGUUCAUGCCCUACCGGGUAAAUCUCCCACCCUAUGUUAUUAUUACUUUGUUGCUUUGGCGGGCCGUUAGGCUCCGGCCCGACUACCGGCCCCGGCUGGUAAGCGCCCGCCAGAGGACCCAAAACCCUGAAUAUUAGUGUCGUCUGAGUACUAUAUAAUAGCUAAAACUUUCAACAACGGAUCUCUUGGUUCUG
rnacentral:misc_RNA from 1 species